rnacentral:rRNA from 1 species
AUUGAACGCUGGCGGAAUGCUUUACACAUGCAAGUCGAACGGCAGCACGGGAGCUUGCUCCUGGUGGCGAGUGGCGAACGGGUGAGUAAUAUAUCGGAACGUAUCCAAUAAUGGGGGAUAACUAGUCGAAAGAUUAGCUAAUACCGCAUACGCCCUGAGGGGGAAAGCUGGGGAUCUUCGGACCUAGCGUUAAUGGAGCGGCCGAUAUCUGAUUAGCUAGUAGGUGAGGUAAAGGCUCACCUAGGCAUCGAUCAGUAACUGGUCUGAGAGGACGACUAGCCACACGAGAACUGAGAGACGGGCCAGAAUCCUACGGGAGACAGCAGUGGGGAAUUUUGGACAAUGGGCGCAAGCCUGAUCCAGCAAUUCCGCGUGAGUGAAGAAGGCCUUCGGGUUGUAAAGCUCUGUCGCAAGGGAAGAAAACUUAACCUCUAACAUAGGUUGAGGCUGACGGUACCUAGAUAAGAAGCACCGGCUAACUACGUGCCAGCAGCCGCCGUAA